GACGAACGCUGGCGGCGUGCUUAACACAUGCAAGUCGAACGGAAAGGCCCUGCUUUUGUGGGGUGCUCGAUUGGCGAACGGGUGAGUAACACGUGAGUAACCUGUCCUUGACUUUGGGAUAACUUCAGGAAACUGGGGCUCAUAUCGGAUAGGAUCUCCUGCUGCAUGGUGGGGGUUGGAAAGUUUCGGCGGUUGUGGCUGGACUCGCUGCUUAUCAGCUUGUUUGUGUGGUAGUGGCUUACCAAGGCUUUGACGGGUAGCCGGCCUGAGAGGGUGGACGGCGACAUUGGGACUGCGAGACGGACCAGACGCCUACGGGAGGCAGUGGGGGGGAGUAUUACACAACGGGGGGAAGCGAGAGGCAGCGACGCCGGGUGCGGGAUGCCGGCCUACGGGUUGUAAACCGAUUUCGACUGUAACGAAGCGGGAGUGACGGUAAUGGGUAAAGAAGCACCGGCUAACUACGUG
rnacentral:rRNA from 1 species